rnacentral:rRNA from 1 species
GGGCCCGCACAAGCGGUGGAGCAUGUGGUUUAAUUCGAUGAUACGCGAGGAACCUUACCAGGGCUUAAAUGGGAAAUGACAGGGGCAGAGACGCCCCCUUCUUCGGACAUUUUUCAAGGUGCUGCAUGGUUGUCGUCAGCUCGUGCCGUGAGGUGUCAGGUUAAGUCCUAUAACGAGCGCAACCCCUACCGUUAGUUGCCAGCGAUUCAAGUCGGGGACUCUAACGGGACUGCCGGUGCAAACCGUGAGGAAGGUGGGGACGACGUCAAAUCAUCACGGCCCUUACGUCCUGGGCUACACACGUGCUACAAUGGUCGGUACAGAGGGAAGCUACCCCGCAAGGGGAUGCGGAUCUAUAAAACCGAUCUCAGUUCGGAUCGGGGUCUGCAACUCGACCCCGUGAAGCUGGAAUCGCUAGUAAUCG